rnacentral:rRNA from 1 species
UAACACCAGAGUCACGAGUGGCAAUCGCUAUUAUUGGGCCUAAAGGGUUCGUAGCCGAUUCAAUAAAUCUUUUGUGAAAUUGUUGGACUUAAUCUAACGGUGUGCAAAAGAGACUGUUGAGUUUGAGACCAGGAAGAGGCAGGAGUAUUCUAAGGGGAGUGGUAAAAUAUUAUAAUCCUUAGAGGACUACCAAUGGCGAAGGCACCUGUCUAGAAUGGGUCUGACGGUGAGGAACGAAGGCUAGGGGAGCGAUCCGGAUUAGAUACCCGAGUAGUCCUAGCUGUAAACGCUGUGAACUAUGUGGCGCGUAUUUUUCGUAAAUAUGCGGCGCCGUAGCGAAGGUGUUAAGUUCACCGCCUGGGAAGUACGGCCGCAAGACUG